AUGGCCAUAUUUGCAGUGAGAUGUAAUUUAACAUAUUUGCUUUGCCUUUCUUCCUCUCUUAUUAUCUCAUCUCCUCAGCCUACUCAUUUCCAAGUGGAUCCCAGCUACAGUACCAACUUACUAGCCUCAGAAAUCAGACUUAUGAGCGGGCUGUGUUUGCCAGUCUACAGUGGUAUGAACAAGGAGGAAAAGCCAACAACCUGUCUGGAGAUGUUGAGCCCCCCCCCCCAUAAGACAAAGGAAAGGUGUGACAUGAUCAAACAUUUAAUUUGCUCUCAAAUUUUCCCCCUUUAUAUAUAGGGAUAUUUGAAGAUUUGUUUUGAGAAUAAUAAAUCAGGUUCCAG
rnacentral:lncRNA from 1 species